GUAGGUGGCAAGCGUUGUCCGGAAUUAUUGGGCGUAAAGCGCGCGCAGGCGGUCCUUUAAGCCUGAUGUGAAAGCCCACGGCUCAACCGUGGAGGGUCAUUGGAAACUGGGGGACUUGAGUACAGAAGAGGAAAGCGGAAUUCCAAGUGUAGCGGUGAAAUGCGUAGAGAUUUGGAGGAACACCAGUGGCGAAGGCGGCUUUCUGGUCUGUAACUGACGCUGAGGCGCGAAAGCGUGGGGAGCAAACAGGAUUAGAUACCCUGGUAGUCCACGCCGUAAACGAUGAGUGCUAAGUGUUAGGGGGUUUCCCGCCCCCCUUAGUGCUGCAGCUAACGCAUUAAGCACUCCGCCUGGGGAGUACGGCCGCAAGGCUG
rnacentral:rRNA from 1 species